GCUUCACUGUUAGAACAUGCUGACUUUAGCACUGCAGCAGGGCUGGAUGUGACAAUGAGGCACUCUUUGUUCUGCAUGCUUGAUUUAUUAUUGUUCACUACGGUCUUCUAUGGAAAUGCUACAGAAGAGGAAUCGAGACUUUUUUAAAUCAAGAAGAAGAGGAAGCGACUGAAGGCAAAGGGAAGAAUUAAAUGGUGAAAGUUGAAGGAGGAAGAAUGCUGCACAGGGAGGAGUUGAGAAGAUCUGGGUGGUAGGCAAGAAUUACCAGACGACUGGGAAAGUACAAUUGUAGAGCCAGUAAACCUCGGGCCUUAAUAACAGCACAUGAGGGAGUCAUACCAGCAGGGGGCAGUGUGACACUGAGCUGCUCUGUGGAGGGCUCUGCUGGUUGGAAGUUUGACUGGUUCAGACGUGAUUCAGAGUUUUCUGGAGCUCAGAAAAUAGGAGCUGGAACAUCAGAGCACACUAUCAGUAUUUCAGAAGCAGGCAUCUAUUACUGCAGAGGAGGGAGAGGAGAUCCAGUUUUCUCCACAGAGGACAGUGUUCCAGUUAAAAUUAAGAAACGGGUCCUGUAUGUUGUAAAGUCGCAACACCGUUGGCCUCAGAUGUUCAUUGGUGAGACAAUCAUCCUUCAAUGUGAGAUCCAAGGAGGGGAAGACAAGGAGAUUACAUACGAAUGGAAAUCACCAAAUCCAAACAUCCCUGAAACAUCCAGUGAAUACAGGAUCAGCAGAGUUUCAGUGUCCCACAGUGGAGACUACAAGUGUCGGGGUAGCAGUGACUAUCUCUUAGCAAAAUGGAGUGACCCCUUCACACUGAUUGUCUUGUGAUGGAGAUAUUACUGGUUCAGACGUACCUCAGAGUCUUCUGCAGCCCAGAGAAUAACAAACGGAACAUCAUCCCACACUUUCAGUGUUUCAGAAGGAGGCAUCUAUUACUGCAGAGGAGGAAGAGGAGAUCCAGUUUUCUUCACAGAGGACAGUGUUUCAGUCACAAUUGAGACAAAUGGUUUCAGAUGUGAAAGCCAUUCGUUUCUUGUGCCUUUCAUCAUUGGACUUGUUUUUGGAAGUUUACUAACUGUUCCUGUGUUGUUGUGCUGUAUAUGCUGCCACACAAGGAUAAGAGAUCGCUGUAGAAACAGGUUCAUGCAGUCUCCAAACAUCAAUCAAUCCUCUGCUGCACCCCAAACUCCCAACCAAAGUGACACUCAGAUUUACUCCUCUCUUCUCCACGGUGAUCUUUCUGUCUAUGAAUCGAUCAGAAACUCUGGAAUCACUCGAAGUGACUUUCAUUCGCGUCACCCACAUCCUCCCAAUCGCCACCUCACUAACACCUCAGUCAGAGCUCCAUCCAAGCCUCAGUCUUCAUCUUCACCACCAGAGUCUAGACUCCAGGGGAAACUCUCCUAAGUCCUAUCACUGUUUGGAUUCUGUUCUGCCAUGAUGGGUCAUUGAAGUUGAACUGCCAAAGGCAUUAAUUCAUUUCUCUAUCUUAAUAAAUCAUAUUCAAUUCCUCCAAGUUAUACUUCCUUAUUGAACUAAUAGAGUCUACCUUUGUACUAGUCCAUAUUAUUUUUAUUUUUGUUGAAUGUAGUUUGUAUAUUAAAUAGUGUGGGAACAUAUAUAUAUAUAUGCAUGUAUAGAAAUGUGUGUUGUGAUGUUUACUUCAUUAGAUGCUGUAAAUUUUAAGUAUGAUGCUGAUUUCACAUCAGACACAAGCUCUCCUUUUUGCCUUUAUCUGAUGAUCUGUUUUACUUCUUUGAUUACUUGUUACUUACUGGUUACUUUAAUAAAUCUAACAAAGACAACCUGGUUAUGUGUACAUAAGUGUGUUUCAGAUUUCCGUAAGAUAUGAUCUCCUUUCAAGCUUCUGAUUGGUCAACAUGGUUUUAGGGCACCGGUCCCCAACCUUUUUUGCGCCACAUUUAAUGUCAGACAAUAUUUUCACGGACCUGCGAUUAAGGUGUCGCCGAUAAAUACAACAAAAUAAAAUGAUACGACCGAGACAAAAACUGUGGCAUUUUGUAAAUAUAAUAAUAAACGUGAAUUCACUGUGUAAUUGUGUAACUUUAUUAGCAGUGUCCUCCUGAAAUGU